UACGGAGGGGACUAGCGUUGUUCGGAAUUACUGGGCGUAAAGCGCACGUAGGCGGAUUUGUAAGUCAGGGGUGAAAUCCCGGGGCUCAACCUCGGAACUGCCUUUGAUACUGCAAAUCUCGAGUCCGGAAGAGGUGAGUGGAAUUCCUAGUGUAGAGGUGAAAUUCGUAGAUAUUAGGAAGAACACCAGUGGCGAAGGCGGCUACCUGGACAGGUACUGACGCUGAAGCGCGAAAGCUAGGGGAGCAAACAGG
rnacentral:rRNA from 1 species